CUAGCCACAUGCAGACAGUGUGCAAGCGUUGUAGCUACUGUAGCACGUUCUGAAUCUGUGGUGUAUUUCAUCAUCCCUCCAGCAAUACAAAAGAGGAACCCACCACCAUCACUGGCAUCAGUGCAGCUAGUAGAACGCGCCAGGAAACAUGACCAAAUAUCUUGAAAAGCUCCGAGAAUCACAAUACCUGUUGGUAUCCAUUAACCUUGUGUUUGCAGUGGCUGCAGUGAUUGGACAAGUGGGGCAGAAUGUCAGCCUGCCACUGUGGAUCAGUGCAACUGCUUCCUUCUCCAAUCCUAACUGCACAGCACUUGAGAGCAGCUAUGCAACUGGAAACAGCUCAAAUACUUCCAGUCCUCCAGAAAUGGACCCUUACUUUGUUCUGAGCAGUGCUUCAAUUUCGUUUGUUAUUAUAUUUGGAACUUGUUUGCUGGUGAUUUUGUCCGUCCAGCUCCUACUCAACAGAUUAUGCAAAGAGAGGCGAUUUCGUUUCAUCACAGUUGAAAAUGAUCUUCUAUUUCCCCAGUGGCAGUUUAUGCUCAUCGGGUUCUUUGAUGCAUUGAAUGGAGUGCUGGUUGUGUUUGCCUCACCGCCCACUCGAACAGCCCCCUUCCUUCAAGCUAUUCUCUCCAACUCUGCAAUCCCACUCACCAUACUGUUCAGGUUUCUCAUUCUGCGUAAGCGGCCGACAUUGCUCAAGCUGCUGUGUGCUUGUGCAGUGGUGGCUGCUCUGGUGUUCUCACUCAUACCAGUAGUCGCACAGUUUGAUGAUAACUCUAAAGGUGGCAACGCUCAGUUCUUUGCUCAACCAACUCUCUCCAGGAUUAUAUGGCCCCUAGUGUUCAUGAUUGGAUUUGUCCCGGCUGCUGUUAUGAACGUGAUUGAAGAGAAGAGUUUAAAGGACACGAGAACUGUUAACUUGUUCUACUUUCUCUUCUGGACUUCCCUGUAUCAACUUGUCUCUGUGGGUGUGUUGUUCUGGGUGGACGUGGUGCCGUGGUAUGGCUUUGCUGGUAGCAUCCAGACCUUUGGGGAAAACUAUUGGUUUGCUAUUCAGUGUUUCUUUGGUGGAGCUGGUUGUAACUAUGUGCCAGGGUUGAGGGGUGUGGCCUUCAUUGCCAUGUACGUGGUCUCGUACCUGGGAGGAGGUCUACUCAUUCGAUACGCAGAGGGAGCGGCUUACCUUGCUAUAGUGCAGUCACUGGUGACUCCCCUGGGAGCGUUGUUCUGGAGCCUGUUUCAAGAGGAUGAUUGUGGUGUAUUCUUGUUCAAGCCGAGUGCAGAUAGUCUCACUUACUUCAGUAUAGGAGGACUCGUGAUUAUGGUCCCAGCAAUAUUCCUCUAUAACAUUGGGUGGAACCUCCGACGAGGAGUGGUGAUACGAAUGGUCCUCGGGGGAACCAGUACAUCCAACAAGUCAACUGUGUUAGCCUGUGUAUAUUUCAUUAUGAUCAUUAUGAGUCAAGCUAAAGCACUCAGGCAAAGAUUGACCAAGAAAUCGUAAGUACAUGCAGUGUAGAGAGUGGAGGCUGUCUAUAAUAUUAUGGUGAUGGCUACCCUUGGGUAGACUAACGGUUUUAUUAUAGAGAGUGGACUGCUAACAUAGGUCCAAACACAUAAUUUACGGAGGCAUAAGUGUGGUGUGUGUGUGUGUGUGUGUGUGUGUGUGUGUGUGGAUUGAGAUCAUUUACUGACGUUGUGUCACAUUGGUAUGAAGAAGCUCAUCUCGAUUAUAGAAGCAUCUAAAAAGGGAGAUAGUUAUGAUGUGGACAUGAUCGUAAAGAGGUUAGAAAUUGAAGGACACCUCACCAACUAAACUAUUAUUAAUUGCUGUCACUUUCUAAGACAUCUCUGCUACUUUAUUUUAGUUUUGCGGUCUAUACAUUUUAGCUGGAUUUCCUAUAAUUAUUAUUGUUAUUUACGCACGUAUAAUUGAAGGCUGAGUGAUUUGUGGGUGUGGUUACAAUUUUAUAAAAGGU